GAUGAAGAACGUAGCGAAAUGCGAUAAGUAGUGUGAAUUGCAGAAUUCAGUGAAUCAUCGAAUCUUUGAACGCACAUUGCGCCCGCCAGCAUUCUGGCGGGCAUGCCUGUUCGAGCGUCAUUUCAACCCUCGACAUCCCCUUGGGGAAGUCGGCGUUGGGGACCGGCAGCACACCGCCGGCCCCGAAAUUGAGUGGCGGCCCGUCCGCGGCGACCUCUGCGUAGUAAUCCAACCUCGCACCGGAACCCCGACGUGGCCACGCCGUAAAACACCCAACUUUCUGAACGUUGACCUCGGAUCAGGUAGGAAUACCCGCUGAACUUAAGCAUAUCAAUAAGCGGAGGA
rnacentral:misc_RNA from 1 species